rnacentral:lncRNA from 1 species
CUCAGUUGAGUUGAGAGUUUGCAUAGGACAGUUAUCCUCAUGUUCAAAGACAUUACUUUGCCUGGACAAGCUAAUUCUGUGUAACUGCUGGGACCUUCCAAACUAGUGUUGGAGAACAGGUGCCCCAGACAGACGACCAUGAUGGACCAAGGCUGCCAGCACUGGUGGACUGCACCAAGAAGAGCCCCCUAAAGAACUUUGUGCCGAAGCCCCCGCAAGGCCCCAGGCUGAGCCAUCAGGCCAAGGCUGAAAAGAACGCCAGAGAGGCCAUUGAUCCCAGAAAGGCUAGGGAGGACAAUGCAGAGGCAAAAAAAACAAGCCGCCAAGUCAUUGGUGUGUUGGCACUGCCUCCACCUCUUCUAUCUCCGACAACCAGUUACAGUGUCCUACCAGCUAUCAAGAAGGGCACUAAAGUGACGAAGGUGGAGACAACAGAGCCACCAGGCCCCCUGACACCUGAGGAUGGGGUGAGAAUGAACUCCUCUCCAUCUGUUGAUGACCCCCUGACCCCAGAAACCCCAGAGAGUGAUGUCACCUCCGAUGCCACUUCUCUGGCGGACCCACCCCGUGAGAUGACACCUGAGAAUGUAGAGGAGGCGUUCUCUCUGG